rfam:Colius striatus contig54576, whole genome shotgun sequence.
UGGCAACAGUGAUGACAGGAGUUGUAACUGUAUGUAGUGUUUCAUGACUGCAUGAAGACAACAGUCCCUCUAAACUGAUGUUGCCA